UACAGAGGGUGCGAGCGUUGUCCGGAAUCACUGGGCGUAAAGGGCGCGUAGGUGGCUUGUUAAGCGUGUGGUGAAAGCCUGGGGCUCAACCCCAGGUCUGCCGUGCGGACUGGCAAGCUUGAGCAGAGUAGAGGCGAGUGGAAUUUCGGGUGUAGCGGUGGAAUGCGUAGAUAUCCGAAAGAACACUGGUGGCGAAGGCGGC
rnacentral:rRNA from 1 species